rnacentral:rRNA from 1 species
GAUCCUGGCUCAGGAUGAACGCUAGCUACAGGCUUAACACAUGCAAGUCGAGGGGCAGCAUGAUCUUAGCUUGCUAAGAUUGAUGGCGACCGGCGCACGGGUGAGUAACGCGUAUCCAACCUUCCCUGUACUAGGGGAUAGCCCGGCGAAAGUCGGAUUAAUACCCUAUGUUUUUCCGAAGCGAGCAUUUAAUUUGGAACAAAGGUUUACCGGUAUAGGAUGGGGAUGCGUCUGAUUAGAUAGUAGGCGGGGUAACGGCCCACCUAGUCGACGAUCAGUAGGGGUUCUGAGAGGAAGGUCCCCCACAUUGGAACUGAGACACGGUCCAAACUCCUACGGGAGGCAGCAGUGAGGAAUAUUGGUCAAUGGACGAGAGUCUGAGCCAGCCAAGUAGCGUGCAGGAUGACGGCCCUAUGGGUUGUAAACUGCUUUUAUAUAGGGAUAAAGUGAGGGACGUGUCCCUUAUUGUAGGUACUAUAUGAAUAAGGACCGGCUAAUUCCGUGCCAGCAGCCGC